GAGAAGCCCCAGCGGCCACCGUCACGUGGGGAUAACAAGAUAUACACAAAAAAGUGAGCUUCCGCCACGGGAAUUCAGGCCUGAUGCAGUCUGUGAUGUGAGGAUGUCUCAGGCACUGCCAUGCAGAUGAGUGGGAAAUGAAGGGGACUGAUGGGAAGUGCCCUGAGGUCAGGAAUUACACAGAUAUUGUUUGCUCUGCAGACCUGAGCUGCCUCUUAAGGGUGCUGAUUACACAGCCUUCUUCAUCUCAGCCUAUGUCCAGAUGGAUCACAGAAUCCUCACCACAAGGGAGCUGGCCAGCCUGACCUGGAAGGACCAUCCAGAAACUCAACCAAGGCACCACAGACUGCUGGGGAAAGGUUCUUGCUGUUUUAAAUAACAUGUCCAGGCCGGGCACAAUGGCUCACGCCAGUAAUCCCAGCACUUUGGGAGGCCGAGGAAGGCGGAUCACCCGAGCUCAAGAGUUCAAGACCAGCCUGGCCAACAUGGUAAAUCCUGUCUCUACUAAAAAUACAAAAAAAAAAAAAAAAAUUAGCUGGGUUGGUGGCACACACCUGUAGUCCCAGCUACUCGGGAGGCUGAGGCAUGAGAAUCACUUGAACCUGGGUGGCAGAGGUUGCAGUGAGCCGAGAUCACACCACUGCACUCCAGCCUGGGUGACAGACCAAGACUCCGUCUUAAUAAAAAAUAAAUAAAUAAAUAACAAGUCCAUCAUCAGUUAGGCCCUGACCAAAUGGGCUAGGGGACAUGAGGACAGAUGGGGACGGGGAAAAAAAGGAGCAGAUACCUUAGCUCAGGUCCUCAUCCCCAGCUGGGUUCCCUUCUCCUCCAAGGAAUCCUUUCCAGGAGUGGAGAAAGAGGCAUCUCAGUCAGACAGCCAGGGUCCCUGGAGGCCAGACUUUUUCAUCCCCUUUCACAUGUGAAGAGGCUGAAUAAUCAUCUUAUCCCCCUGUAUUAGCUCAUUCUCACAUUGCUAUAAAGAACUACCUGAGACUGGGUAAUUUAUAAAGAAAAGAGAUAGAGCCAGGCAUGGUGGCUCAUGCCUGUAAUCAAAGCACUUUGGGAGGAUGAGGUGGGCAGAUCACCUGAGGUCAGGAGUUCGAGACCAGCCUGGCCAACAUGGUGAAACCCAGUCUCUACUAAAAAUACAAGAAUUAGCCAGAUGUGGUGGCCUGCGCCUGCAAUCCCAGCUACUCAGAAGGCUUAGGCAGGAGAAUCACUUGAACCUGGGAGGCAGAGGUUGCAGUGAGCCAAGAUCCCACCACUGCACUCCAGCCUGGGCAAGACAGUGAGACCAUAUCAAAAAAAAAAAAAAAAAAAAGAAAAAAAAGAAAAAGAAAAAGAAAAAGAAAAAAAGAAAGAAGAAAAGAAAAGAAAGGAAAGGAAAAAAGAAAAGAAAAGAGGUUUAAUUGACUCAUGGUUCCACAGGCUGUACAGGAAGCAUGGCUGGGGAGGCCUCAGGAAACUUACAAUCACGGCAGAAGAUGAAGGGGAAGCAGGCAUGUCUUACAUGGCUGGAGGAGGAAGGAGAGAGAGUGAAGGAGGAGGUGCUACACACUUUAAACAACCAGAUCUCAUGAGAACUCACUCACUAUCAAGAGAACAGCAAGGGGGAAAUCUGCCCCCAUGAUCCAAACCGUGUCACCUGCCUGUAUUAUCUCUGUGUGUGUGUGUGUGUGUGUGUGUGUGUGUGUGUGUGUGUGUGUGUGUGUGUGUGUGAUGGGGUCUCACUCUGUCACCCAGGCUAGAGGAGCAUGAUCAUAGCUCACUCACUGCAGCCUCAAAUUUGAGGGAUCCUCCUGGGCUCAAGCUAUCCUCCUGCCUUAGCC
rnacentral:lncRNA from 1 species